rnacentral:rRNA from 1 species
AGUCGUAACAAGGUCUCCGUAGGUGAACCUGCGGAGGGAUCAUUACACAAAUAUGAAGGCGGGCUGGAACCUCUCGGGGUUACAGCCUUGCUGAAUUAUUCACCCUUGUCUUUUGCGUACUUCUUGUUUCCUUGGUGGGUUCGCCCACCACUAGGACAAACAUAAACCUUUUGUAAUUGCAAUCAGCGUCAGUAACAAAUUAAUAAUUACAACUUUCAACAACGGAUCUCUUGGUUCUGGCAUCGAUGAAGAACGCAGCGAAAUGCGAUAAGUAGUGUGAAUUGCAGAAUUCAGUGAAUCAUCGAAUCUUUGAACGCACAUUGCGCCCUUUGGUAUUCCAAAGGGCAUGCCUGUUCGAGCGUCAUUUGUACCCUCAAGCUUUGCUUGGUGUUGGGCGUCUUGUCUCUAGCUUUGCUGGAGACUCGCCUUAAAGUAAUUGGCAGCCGGCCUACUGGUUUCGGAGCGCAGCACAAGUCGCACUCUCUAUCAGCAAAGGUCUAGCAUCCAUUAAGCCUUUUUUUUCAACUUUUGACCUCGGAUCAGGUAGGGAUACCCGCUGAACUUAAGCAUAUCAAUAGGAAGUAAAAGUCG